rnacentral:lncRNA from 10 species
UGUGAAAUUCCUUCUCCUAGCUCAUCCUGGCUCAAAAGCUCCCCCACUGAGCACCUUGUGACCCCCGCCCCUGCCUACCAGAGAACAACCUCCUUUGACUGUAAUUUCCCACUACCUACCCAAAUCCUAUAAAACGGCCCCACCCCUAUCUCCCUUUGCUGACUCUCCUUUCGGACUCAGCCCACCUGCACCCAGGUGAAAUAAGCAGCCUUGUUGCUCACACAAAACCUGUUUGGUGGUCUCUUCACAGCAACGCGAAUGAAAUUUGGUGCCAUCACUCGGAUCAGGGGACCUCCCUUGGGAGAUCAAUCCCCUGUCCUCCUGCUCUUUGCUCCAUGAGAAAGAUCCACCUACGAUCUCUGCUCCUCAGACCAACCAGCCCAAGGAACAUCUCACCAAUUUUAAAUCGGGUAACCAUGUCCCAUCUGUGCAGGAUCCCACUGAAAAUUGGACUGUUCAAUUUACCUGGCAGCCACUCUCAGAGCCCCUGGAACUCUGGCUCAAGGCUCUCUUACUCCUUCCCAGAUCUUCUCAGCUUAGCGGCUGAAGACUGAUGCUGCCAGAUGACUUUGGAAGCCCCCUGGACCAUCACAGAUGCCCAGCUUUGGAUAACUCUUACAGUGGAGGGUAAGUCCGUCCUCUUCUUAAUCAAUACAGAGGCUACCCAACUCCACAUUACCUUCUUUCAAGGGCCUGUUUCCCUUGACUCCAUAACUGUUGUGGGUAUUGAUGGCCAGGUUUCUUUUUUUUUUUUUUUUUUUUUUUUGAGAUGGAGUCUGGCUCUGUCGCCCAGGCUGGAAUGCAGUGGUGCAAUCUCGGCUCGCUGCAAGCUCCACCUCCG